AACCCGUAGAUCCAAACUUGUG
rnacentral:miRNA from 1 species